rnacentral:piRNA from 1 species
UGCCAAUAAACUGAAGAGUGCAUGAG